UGUCGUUGUUUCCCUUUUUCCAGUUUUGUGUAUCUUGGGCGUUAAGUUUUAGAAAUAAAGAGCAUCAGUUGCAUAAUCUGGCUUGGAAUUCAUUUCGUUUGGUCUGUACUUGGAUAAAGCAAACCCAGAAACCUGGUGGAAAUCUUUUUGGAUGAACCUGGAGUUUGUAAACUUUUUCCAUUCUAGUUUUCCGUUCCCUUGAAUGUAGAAUAAGCUUAUGGAACUUGAGAUUAGUUUCUGGUUUGAAAUUGUUGUUAAACUUUGUCGCGUGAGAUUGCUGAAGUCCUAAAACCAUCAGAGGUUGCAGAAAGUUUUAGUUGCAGCAAGCUUGUUCGAAGCUUUGCAUGAAAUACUUUCCAAAAUUGCAUUUUGACCCCUAUAUUUUUAAAUAAUUCUGAUUUGGCCCAAAAAAUUGGAAAAAUCAAUCAAUAUUGUCCCUUUAAAAUGUUAAUUUUCUUUGGUAUGAUUUAAUGUGAUUUUUGGAUAGAUUAUUUAUGAGUUUUAGGAUGAAAUUCAAGGUUUAAUAUUUUUGUAUAGAUUGAUAAUUUUUUAUUUGGGUUUUAUCAAAGAUUUAAGGAUUUGGGUGAUAUUUUCAUGGGUAUUUGAUUUACUUUUGUGAAUUUGGGUGUGGUAGGCCUUGUUUUGAAUCCUUAAUUUUAUUUUAAUUUGGACCCCUAAUAUUUGUAAUAAUAAUAAUUUG
rnacentral:lncRNA from 1 species